AACGGGUGAGUAAUACGUGAGUAACCUGCCCUUGACUCUGGGAUAAGCCCGGGAAACUGGGUCUAAUACUGGAUGCUACAUGUCACCGCAUGGUGGUGUGUGGAAAGGGUUUUACUGGUCUUGGAUGGGCUCACGGCCUAUCAGCUUGUUGGUGAGGUAAUGGCUCACCAAGGCGACGACGGGUAGCCGGCCUGAGAGGGUGACCGGCCACACUGGGACUGAGACACGGCCCAGACUCCUACGGGAGGCAGCAGUGGGGAAUAUUGCACAAUGGGCGGAAGCCUGAUGCAGCGACGCCGCGUGAGGGAUGACGGCCUUCGGGUUGUAAACCUCUUUCAGCAGGGAAGAAGCCACAAGUGACGGUACCUGCAGAAGAAGCGCCGGCUAACUACGUGCCAGCAGCCGCGGUAAUACGUAGGGCGCAAGCGUUGUCCGGAAUUAUUGGGCGUAAAGAGCUCGUAGGCGGUCUGUCGCGUCUGCUGUGAAAGCCCGGGGCUUAACCCCGGGUGUGCAGUGGGUACGGGCAGACUAGAGUGCAGUAGGGGAGACUGGAAUUCCUGGUGUAGCGGUGGAAUGCGCAGAUAUCAGGAGGAACACCGAUGGCGAAGGCAGGUCUCUGGGCUGUUACUGACGCUGAGGAGCGAAAGCAUGGGGAGCGAACAGGAUUAGAUACCCUGGUAGUCCAUGCCGUAAACGUUGG
rnacentral:rRNA from 1 species